UGGGCGGUAGCCAAGUGGUAAGGCACUGGUUUUUGAUACCAGCAUACGUAGGUUCGAAUCCUCCUCGCCCAGCCA
rnacentral:tRNA from 1 species